GCGAAUAUAAUUUAAUGGUAAAAUAACAAUUUGUGGCUUUGUCUAUAUGGGUUCGAUUCCCAUUAUUCGCC